AUGGCCACCACCAGGCGCAUGCAUGCGGCGUCGCCGCCGUUGUCGCCCACGCCUUCUUCGCAUGACGCGGCGACGGCAAGGCUCAGCGCUGAGGACCAUGCGACCGGUCUGUUUGCUGCGGCUAAGAAGGCGAGGAUGGAGAUCCAGCUGGAGCGAGGCAGGAGCUUCCCGGAAUACGAUGAUGCGCGCACUGGCGACGGGUUGGAUUUGUCUCUCCAGCUGUGA
rnacentral:rRNA from 1 species